rnacentral:rRNA from 1 species
CACGUAGGCACCAAGCGUUGUCCGGAUUUAUUGGGCGUAAAGAGCUCGUAGGCGGUUCAGUCAGUCGGGUGUGAAAACUCUGGGCUCAACCCAGAGACGCCACCCGAUACUGCUGUGACUUGAGUACGGUAGGGGAGCGGGGAAUUCCUGGUGUAGCGGUGAAAUGCGCAGAUAUCAGGAGGAACACCAGUGGCGAAGGCGCCGCUCUGGGCCGUAACUGACGCUGAGGAGCGAAAGCGUGGGUAGCAAA